rnacentral:lncRNA from 1 species
CCCGGCGUUCAAGUCAGAUUCGCUCCCCUGCUCCCUUCUCCCCUUGUGCUCCUCUCCGGGCUAUCCGCCGGCGGCGGGGCCCGAACCCCUCCACCUGCGUUCCCCCCUCCCUGUCCGGUGGCCCUGGCAGCGCCACGGGCCAACAAGUUCUGGGCCCUUGAUUCCGACGACUCUGGCUCCGAUUCUGAUCCUGAGACUCCCCCUCCUCCUCGCUCGGCAUCGGUGGUUGGGUUGCCUCCGUUAUUGGUGGCGGGCCGUCGGCGCAAGUUUGCUCCGGGGGGUCGGGGCCGGCUGUGUGCGCUUGAUGCGGGCCCGGAUGGAUGGCGUCGUGUUGGCCGUGGGCGCCGGCGCGCCGCUCCCUGGGCGGCGGAUCCUUCUUUGGUGAGCCCGGGGGUGGACGCCAUGGCCUCACCCGUCUCAUCCUCCUCGGUGGCGGUGCCCUCCGGUUCGUCGCCGUCCAGGUGCCUCCCUUCCACGUCGUCGGCGGCGCCGGCGCAAACCCUAGAUCUGGGAUCGGGUCUUGCGUUGGUGCCCCGGUCCGUGGGCCGGGUCCCUCUGGUCGGUGACNNNNNNNNNNNNNNNNNNNNNNNNNNNNNNNNNNNNNNNNNNNNNNNNNNNNNNNNNNNNNNNNNNNNNNNNNNNNNNNNNNNNNNNNNNNNNNNNNNNNNNNNNNNNNNNNNNNNNNNNNNNNNNNNNNNNNNNNNNNNNNNNNNNNNNNNNNNNNNNNNNNNNNNNNNNNNNNNNNNNNNNNNNNNNNNNNNNNNNNNNNNNNNNNNNNNNNNNNNNNNNNNNNNNNNNNNNNNNNNNNNNNNNNNNNNNNNNNNNNNNNNNNNNNNNNNNNNNNNNNNNNNNNNNNNNNNNCCCAGUUGAGUCCGCCUCCCCCUUCGGCCCUUUCGACAGAGCCCGGCCUGGCUGGCUCCGGCUAUUUAUGGGUCCGGAAGGGGUCGGUUCCCCCUUUUCUAGGGUUUCCUGCCUCCGCUGCUGAUCUGCGACGGCGCCGUUUCCCUAUCCGCCGCUUUGUCAGAUCCAAGCCUCCCCCUCCCCUCCUCCUCCCCUUCUCGUCGGUGGUGGCGAUGGACCGCUCCCGUGGGUCCUCCAGCGACGCUGUCUCCAGCCUCAAGCGGGGGCGGGACGGCUCUGGCGACGCCGCUGCGGAUCUGGAGUUUGAGGCGUCGCUCCGCGCCAAGCUCCAGGCUUCGCGGUCGGAGGCGGGUGCCGCUUCGCCGCGUGCGUCUGGUUCCGGGCCGGUGGCUUCUCCGUCCUUGGCGCCCGCAGCUCCGGUGCAUGUGGUCGACCCUUGGGAACAGGCGGCGCGGGGGAGCCGGGCGGGAUCUUCGGGCCCCUCCUCGUCUCCUUCCUCGCUUGCUCCCAUGGGUGGGCCGCCGCGGACGCCGGCGGCGGGCGGCGGCGGGCCGUCCCGCUUCGUUCCUCGUGGUGGCUCUGGGGCCCCGGCCCGGCGUCCGGUUGGCCCUGCGGCGGGACGUGGUGCUGGCGCGGGUGCUGUCGGUGGUUAUUCUGGAGAUGGCAUCCUCCCUCCGCCGCCUUCUCGUGGUGCGAACCAUAACUCCUCUCACUCCUAGGUUUCUAAUCCCAUCCUCACCUGCUUCGCGUGUCAUCGCCCUGGUCAUUUCCAGUCUCGGUGCGAGAACCCUCCUUUCUGUCUCAUCUGUAGGGAGGAUGGACACCUAACGGUGGACUGUCAGAGUAGGAUCAAGCCCCCCUCCUUCGUGCAUUUUGGGAUUGGCCUCCCGGGUUGCUCUUUUUUUGCCAUGGACAAGGAAGUCCCCGCAGCUGCUCCCAUUCCCUCCCUGUCCAACGUGGGUGUCAUUACUGUCCAAGACAAGCGUAUCUCUUCACAAGCCCUCUUGGAUGAACUUCAUAUGUGGGAUGAAGGGGGUUGGGACUGGCAGAUCCGGCAGCUUUUUGAUUUCGAGUUUGCGGCCACUUUCCCCUCUAAAGAGAGUCUUCGCAUGAUGUCUUCCUGUACCAGUUUCACUCUCCCUGUGAAUCAACUUGUUGUAUCGGUCAAAGCGGCUUCCAACGGAUCCAAGACCAUAUCUCCUCUGUCUGAUGUCUGGGUGCUCGUUGAUGAUGUGCCUCCCAGCUUGCGCACCGCGUCCUUCUUGAUGGCUUUUGGGGUGCUUAUCGGGAAACCUAUUGAGGUCGAUCUUGCUUCGCUGUCGGUUCUGGGUCCUGCUCGCCUUCGUGUGUGGUGUGUUGAUCCGAUCUGCAUCCGUGGUUCCGUUGAUGUCUUCCCGGCGGCUGGUGGCUUUCGUCUUCGAGUUCGGGUGGAAGGUGCUCCUGGUGCGGUCGCUCCUCCUCCCCCCCUCCUCCCCCGGCCUCGGGUGACGAUGACAAGAGCCGGGAGGGUGGGGGGUCCUGAGGACUCGCUGAAUGGCACGGAUCCCCGAUUCACCCAGUCUGCGUGGGAUGGGCUUUCUCCUGCUGAGCAGGAGCUGAUGAAGGACUGUGCUCCGGCUCCGGCGGGUGGUGGGGUUCAGGGCUCCGUGCCUAGUACGGUGGCUGGUCCUGCGGCCGCGGCUGCUUCGAAGGGCACCCCCUUGUCGGGGGCGUGCUCCAACAUGCCCGUGCGCCCCACCUCCCCCUCGAUGUCCGACAUUGAAGAUCUACCUCCAGUGGGACCUUCAGCGUCCAAGAAAAGGAAGAAGUCCUCGGUGAAGAAGUUUUCCGCGAAGAGCCGGGCCUCGGGGGACUCCAGGCAGUCGGCGGCUGGGCUCUGCCGCCGUCUGGAGGCGGACCUGGGAGCGGCUUCGGGCCCUUCUUCGGCGGCGGCUUCCCCUGGUCGGGCCCCUCCGGUCCCUGUGCGCUCUCCUGCCUCGACCGCUCGCAAGAGUGGCCGCGUCUCCAGCAGUGGCGAGCGCGUGGUGGAUCGGGCGGCUCGGCGUGCGGCGGCGCGUGAUCUUCCCCCCUCAGGUUUGGAUUCACCUUCAUCUCCUUCCCCCCCUUUGGCUCAGUCUCCUGUUAGGCUUGUUUUACCCUCCCAUUCCGAUGAACAUCUCCUUUCGAUAUUAGCUGAUGUUGGGAUAUGUCUAGACGCUAGCGUGGGUUCUCCCUCCUCUCUGUUGCAGUUGAUUCGUGCUAAUGAACGUGCUCAGGCUGAUAUCGCCAAGGCCAAGGAGGCCGGGACUGGGAUGGAUGCCCCUCUGGUUGUGGCCGGAGGGGAACGGGGCGAGGUUGCUAGGGGGCAGCUGUCUCCGGUGCAGAAGCGCGGGGCCGGGAAACGUGCUAAAACCUGCAAGGCUCCGUGCAGGUCGAGCUUGAGAAUUAAAAACCUUUCCCUAAGAUGAAGGCCCUGUUUUGGAACAUUAGAGGGUUCUGCGCUAGGGGGCGCAGAGACCAACUGAAGGACUUAAUGCGCGCUGAAAGAAUUGAUUUUAUCGGGCUUGUUGAGACUCUUAAACCCUCCUUUUCUCCUUCUGAACUAUCGGCGAUUGCUGGGAUUGAUAGAUUUAGGUGGAAUUUCGUGGCCUCUGUUGGUCAGUCCGGCGGCUUUCUUCUGGGCACCAAUAAUGUCACCUUUGAUUUUGUGGCUUUCGACCAUGGUAUAUACUGGGCUAGUUUGGUAGUUUCCCUACGUUCCAAUAACACCCUCCUUGAACUUAUGGUAGUAUAUGGUCCGGCUGAUCAUUCCUUGUCACAAAUUUUCUUGGAUGAGAUUUUUACUAAAAUUGAUGCCUGCCAACUGCCACUCCUGAUUGGGGGUGAUUUUAAUCUGCUUCGGUAUCCUUCUGAUAAGAGUUCUGUCAAUUUCUCCUGGGUGCGGGCCGAGGCUUUUAAUGCUUUCAUCAGGGACACGGCUAUCCGUGAGAUCCCGAGGGUUGGGGCCCGCUACACUUGGACCAACCGACAGACUUGUCCUAUUCGCUCGGUUCUUGAUAGAGUUUUUAUCUGCCCUGCUUGGGAUGGCCUUUUUCCUCGCUGCUCACUUCGGGCCCUCCCCAUCGUCGGGUCCGAUCACGCUCCUCUCAUCCUUGACGAUGGUCUCUGCCCCAAUGGCUGCCAAAGAUUUCAAUUUGACGCGUCCUGGCUUUUAGUGGAAGGGUUCCCUGAUAUGCUGGCUCAGAAGAUCUUGGGCUUUCUUACCUCCCCCCAUCGUUCAUUUGGCCCUAUGGAUGACUGGCAUUAUGUUUCUUACUCCCUACGCAAGUUCCUUAGAGGAUGGGCCAAGAACCACUUUGCUGAGUCGAGGCGCGACAAAUCUAGGUUGAGUGCUCAAAUUAGUGCCCUCGACUCCCAUGCGGACAACGGUGGGCUCUCGGCUACUGAGUGGCAAGUUCGCUAUGGCCUUGAGAAGGAGCUUCUGGCUAUUCAUCGCCAAGAGGAAGUGUAUUGGAAGCAAAGGGGUACGAUUAAUUGGACUCUUAAGGGUGAUUCUCCCACGGCUUACUUUUUCGCCAUUGCGAAUGGCAGACGGCAUAGAUGUUUGAUUAACAGCCUCAUUAUUGAUGGUGUUAGGGUCUCUGAACCGCCGGUCAUUCUCCGUCAUGUAGUUCGGUUCUUCUCUAACCUGCUUUCGGCUAAACCAGACCUCGGAUUCGCGCUAGCCCCGGGCUUCUGGGCUCCCCUUGAUAGGAUUUCUCACGCUGAUAAUGAGCUUCUGUUGAUUCCCCCUUCUGAGGAGGAAAUUUUUGAUACUAUUCGGACGGCUAAUUCUAAUGCGGCUUCAGGCCCUGAUGGUUUCUCCAUUCCGUUCUUUCGACAAUUCUGGCCCCAACUAAAAGGUUUAAUUUCUGCUGUCAUCCAAGGGUAUUGGCUGGGAUCGGUUGACAUUUCUAGACUUAACUAUGCAGUUCUCUCCCUCAUCCCUAAGGUCAAGGGUGCGGAUAUGAUUUCUCAAUUUAGGCCGAUUGCUUUAAUCAACAACUUCGCAAAGAUGCCUGCAAAGGGCAUGGCCACUAGGCUAUCUCCCAUUGCACAUCGGACCAUUAGCCCUUUCCAGUCUGCUUUCAUCAAAGGGAGGUUCAUUUUGGACGGGAUACUUUGUUUACAUGAGAUUGUUCAUGACUUACGGGUGCGAGGGACCAAGGCUGUGGUUCUCAAACUUGACUUUGAAAAGGCCUACGACUCGGUUAGCUGGAAAUUCCUUCGGCAAGUUCUUUUGGCUAAGGGCUUUGAGGGGCCUGUUAUGCAGCGCUUGAUGCAAUUGGUUUCUGGGGGGCACACGGCUGUGGCUGUCAAUGGCCAAAUUAGCCAGUUUUUUGCUAAUGGCAGGGGCCUCAGGCAAGGGGAUCCAGCGUCCCCUUUACUCUUCAACUUUGUGGCUGAUGCUCUAUCUCGCAUUCUCUCUCGAGCUGCCUUGGCUGGUCAUAUCACUCCGGUGAGCUCUCAUCUCAUUCCUAAUGGCAUCUCUCAUCUCCAAUAUGCGGAUGAUACUAUAAUUCUGAUGGAACUUAAUGAUAAUAGCCUCACCAAUCUGAAAUUCCUUCUGCUUUGUUUCGAAGCGCUCUCAGGUCUUAAAAUCAAUUUCUCUAAGAGUGAGGUUGUAGUGACUGGGGUCUCGGACGAAGAGGCGCAGCGGGUGGCCCAUCUUCUUAACUGCUCUUUGGGAUCCUACCCUCUCAAAUAUCUAGGCCUCCCCAUUUCCCCGCUUAAACUUUUGGCUAAAGACUUCGCUCCGGUGGUUACCAAAGUUGGCAACAGAGUUCUCCCUUGGCGAGGGCGAUAUAAUACGCAAGCGGGCAAGGUCGCCCUUACUAACUCCUGUCUUUCUUCGCUACCUAUGUUCUUAAUGGGAUUCUAUCUUCUCUCUAGUGGGGUUCAUAAUGGUUUUGACAAGCAUAGGGGUGCUUUCUAUUGGAACGCAGCGGACAAUACGCGUAAGUACAGAAUGGUCAGAUGGGACAUUAUAUGUCGCCCCAAGGCCAAAGGGGGUCUGGGCAUUAUUAAUACGCGAGUGAUGAAUAAUUGUCUUAUGAUCAAAUGGUGGUGGAAGAUCAUGACUCUUGAGGAACUGCCACCCUGGCUCUCUAUCCUAAAAGCUAAAUAUUUCCCCUCCUCGAGUCCUAUGUUCGCGCCGGCUGCGGGUGGGUCGCAAUUUUGGCAUCAACUGGUUAAAGUCCGGCCGAUCUUUCGGUCCCUUGUAAAAUUUGUAGUUAGGAACGGUAAGUCUACGCGGUUUUGGCUUGAUUGGUGGGUCGGGGACUCCACGCUGGUUGUUGCUUUUCCGGUUCUAUUUUCAUAUUGCGAUGAUACUGAGGUUUCUAUCUUUGAGCUCUCGGCUAGGGGUUGGGUUCUGGAUUUUCGUCAUUCUCUUUCUCCUGAAGAGUUGGAAGAUUGGCAGCGCCUUACUGCUUGCUUCCCCCUGCUCUCGGAGGAAGAGGAUGCCGUGGUGUGGCCCCUCUCCUCUUCGGGGCGUUUUUCGGUUAAAUCUGCUUACUCCAAGCUUACCCCGGGGGGGCGCCCGGUCAAGUUUAAGCAUGUCUGGUCGGCUCGAAUUCCUCCUAAGAUCAAGAUAUUUCUCUGGCAAGCUGUCCGGAGUAAGCUUCCGGCGGCCGAUCAGAUUAAGAAAAGAAACGGGCCGGGGUCCGACAGGUGUGUGCUUUGUGGGGCACUGGAGAACACCGAGCAUAUUUUCUUUCACUGCUCCUUAGCUAAACUUAUGUGGAGUUGCAUCAGACUCUGGUUACAUGUAAAUUGGUCCCCUUCCUCCUUUGAAGACCUGAGGCAUUAUGUCAAUCUUCUUUCUGGCCAUUCUAAAAGAGUCUUCUUAGUUGGAUGGGCUGCGAUUGGCUGGUCGUUGUGGACUACUAGGAAUAAGUUCUCGAUUGAACAUAUUUUUCCGGCUAAUCCUGUCAAUUGCUUAUUUAAAGCCAAUGGUUUCUUGCAGCAAUGGAGAUUAUUGACUAAAGAAGGGGACCUCCAGGCCUUCGACGCCAUGCUAUCCAAGAUGAAAUCUACGGCGUCUGGGCUUCUUCGGCUUUCUUUGAGGACGGCUUCCUGAAUGCUCUUUUGGUGUCUGGUUUAGGCUGGCCUGCGUGCCAUGUAAGGCCGCUGGCCUUGUAAUGAUACUUUAUCUUCUGCGCGUGAUACUUUGUUGGGUGCUGUUGUUGGUCAUAUACUCUGCCUGGUGGCUUUAUCUAUAAAGUCGGGCUCUCGCCUUUUCUAUAAAAAAAAAGUGUCCCUCCUUUUAUUGGCUUUGCUUACCCAUUUGUUGGCUUCCAUGGACUCCAACCACUUUGAUCUGGAG